GUAGGUGUAGUUUUAACAAAAACAUUGGAUUGUGAUUCCAAAAAUAAGGGUCAAAGUCCCUUCUCCCACC
rnacentral:tRNA from 1 species